rnacentral:rRNA from 1 species
UACGGAGGGGACUAGCGUUGUUCGGAAUUACUGGGCGUAAGGCGCGCGUAGGCGGAUUUGUAAGUCAGGUGUGAAAUCCCGGGGCUCAACCUCGGAACUGCCUUUGAUACUGCAAAUCUCGAGUCCGGAAGAGGUGAGUGGAAUUCCUAGUGUAGAGGUGAAAUUCGUAGAUAUUAGGAAGAACACCAGUGGCGAAGGCGGCUCACUGGUCCGGUACUGACGCUGAGGUGCGAAAGCGUGGGGAGCAAACAGG